CAAGAGACAUCUACAUUGCAGCCUACAUGUCAUGAGCAGACAGCGUGUUGGUAGUGGCAUUGAAGAGUAAGGACCACACUGGACCCAAGUGAUAUUUGCAGGCAUCAACAGUCACCUACAGAGCCCUCUCUUCAUCUGUAGCAUGCUGCUGAAUGUCAGGAGUUCAUCCGUAUCGUUUCCUCUGAAGCAUGUUUGCUGAAUGACUGCGACUGUGGUGUUGAAGGUUAUCUCCAUAAGAAGUUUGAGAUGAUGAUAAACCUGACCUGAGGCGAGAGAGUUUGGCUGAGGCAAUAAGGCAGAAAAUCUAAUAUGGUGGCAUGGGCUGUCCCACUGGGCUAAGCUCUCUCAAACAGUGAAGAAUGGACAUUCUAUCAAAUGGAACCAUCAAUUCAGGAGUCUCUGAUUAAAUGAGUGUGAUGGAUCUCGCCAUCAUUAGGGAGACUGAGGGCUGGCGGAUUGGAGCCAUCACAAAUCAGCUUUAUGUGGAAAGAGCAUGGAGUGGCAGUGACAGCUUUACAGCUCCUGUGAUAUUAAUGGAGUGGACCGUUUUACAUUGCAUGGCCCUGCAGCCCUUAUCACAUCAGAUAUACAGUAACCAGGGGUCAUUAUAAAUCUCCAUAGGCUCCAAGUUCUGAGUAUUUCCAUUGGUGUCCUGUACCUUAGUCAGCACAUUACUGGUUGUCCGAAAGCGUGUUGGAGUUACAAUUCAGUAUUCUCAUCCUGAAUACUCUAUGUUUAUGCUGACCUAGGACCUAGGGCCUCAAGACGUAAACUAUAUCUAAUAGUAGUGUGCAUAACAAAUCUAUGCGUAUCAUUUGAAAAAAAGGCACUAAUGAGAAUAUGGUUCACCAGUGGUGUGAAAUUGCAAGCUGUGGUAAAAAGCACUGAGUAGUCCAUGUUUUCUCAAAAUACAGUCAACCAGAGUGUCCUCUUACCACACAUGGUGUUCCCUCCACGGGUCUUCCUCACCCCAGUUUCGCACAGUUGAUGCAUGCCUUUUUCAUGAUCCAAAUGUAGAGAUUCUCUUAUGCUUAACUCACAGUGGAAAACUGAAAACUUUGUUCUAGAGUAUAAGAAAGAGGUCAGUCAAGUCGCACAUCCUGAGAAUCACAUUCCAUCUUAUUCAAGCUUACAUUCACAAUCUCUGUCUCCCUGUUUAAUUUAGCAACAGACAGAGCAAGAUGCAAUUGCUGCUGUGACUACCAAGAUAAGUGGGUGUUCAUCUAGCUGAGGAGACUGGCAUUAAAAAUGUACAGUCUACUCUCACCAUAAUGUGGGUUGCUUUGAGAUAAAAAUAAAAAAAAAUACAUACUUUCACUUAGCUGAUGUAAAUAUGUCAAAUUGGUUUGCCAAAUGUAACACAUUUCACUCACUUUUUCAGAAGCUUAUAUCCCCCAGCUUUGUCACGACCCCAUACUGUUUGAUCUAUAAUGCAAUAUAUAUUUUGAGCUUUUAUCUUGUCUUAUUUUGAUACACAGUAACUUCCAAAAACUGUCUUAAAAGCACAGAGUCAUUACAUUUUUCUACUGUCUACUGUAUUGUUCUUGUGUAGAGGACAUGUGAAUUUAUCACAUUUGAUGAAUUUAAAUAUAGGGACACGUGGUUUAAUAAUGUGAAAUGGCAUUUCACAUGUGAUGAAUUCACAAAAAGGCAUUUGCGGAUUGUGGACAUUUCAUGUCUAAUAAAAAACUGCAUUAUAUAGGAUUUUCACAUGUGAAAUUCACGUUUUUACAUGCAAAAUAUCACAUUCCAUUUGAAGUAUACAAAAACGACAUACCUGUGCCUAUUUAAUUUGCAAUGUGAGGGUCACAUAAAAUGUUCAUGUUUUUAUUUUUUAGUAGUAUGAUCACAAGGCAAAAUAUUAAAUACUGAUUCUAUAAUUCUUCAACAAUUUUCCCAUUAAUCAGAAGAACAUACUGUACACAGAAUGCUUUUCACAUCUAUUACUACAUUAUCAUCCUUUUGGUAUUAAAAAGCUAACUGAAAAUUAAGGAAGUUGGAGGUGUAUUAGUUGUGUGCACACACCCACAGCAAAUAACCAGUUAUUUAUAUCCCUCAUUAAGACACUUUAGCUUGAAAUAUUCCUUUAGUUGCAAAAAGCCAUCAACAAGCAUGAAGACACACAGUGAAAUAUUGUUGUCAUUAGCAGCAGGAAUAGAGGUGGCAGAGAAGCUAUGACAGAUUCACCAGACCUGGAGUGGAGGUCACCUUUCUUGGGGAAAAUGACAUUACAGCUGCAGUAAAUUCAGGCAGAUUGUUCUCAAGUGAGCAAACCAGGGAAAGCAAUAUUAGAGCAGCAGAAAAACAAAAACAAAAGUAAGCCAAUAGGAGACACAGUGGGGUGUCAGGCUUUUGCUUUCAGAAAUGAGUUAUAUCCAAACCAUAGGCAGCCACUGAAUACUGAAUAGAAGACACACAGAGCCCCAUGCCUGCAGUACGCAACUUCCAAUGAUGUGAAGUGUUCCCUAAAUCUGUGUUUAUUUGUGUGUGUAUUCCUUUGAUAUGUGUGAAUUAUAAAACAAUGUCUCUGUGUGAAACCUCUCUGGCAGAAUUUGCCUAGUGUGAAAAUCCAUCCACCCAACAUGAGCUAACAUUUUACUCAUUAAUGUCUUGAGAGGUUUGUACCAGAAAUACCAAACAGCCUGCAGAAUGUGUCUUUGUAUGAAGAUGACAGCAUUUGUGGUGGUGUUUGUGUCUGUGUGCACAUUUGUUUGUUUGUUCGUGUGUUUGGUUUUGCCAUGUGUUUUCAUCCCUUUGUGUGUUUUGACAUCCACAUUGCACACCCUCAGUUGAGGGACUGACUCUAAUCUACACUCUAUUGUCAGUGAGUUAUUCUUUGCAGUACAGCUAUUCAUAAAUAUUCAAUGGUUUGUCACCAAUGAAAUAGUGAUUAAAAGGAAAGUCCAUGAAUAGCAUGGUAAUGUCACAGAAUGUGGUAUCCUCUACUGAACAGAGUGAGAAAACUGUGGAAAACAUCCAUAAUUUACGGUCUACUGGCUAAACUAUAUGGGUUAACUCAAGAUUAAAUAGUCAGACAAUUGCUGUUGGACUGUCAAUAUUCAGUCAAAGUGAGAGUACAGGACUUUUAUGUAUAAAUUAAUGUGAUUUAUUUGAUUUAGUUUGCCAGAGCGGGGAGCAACCCAGAGCCAUGUAGAGAGCUCCGUGAUCACCAGUGCUGUAAAAAGAAAAGGUCCAUUGUAUAGAAUGUUUAUUA